rnacentral:tRNA from 1 species
GGACUUCUGGUGAAAUAAUCACACUGCCUUGUCGAGGCACAGUUGCGGGUUUGAACCCCGCGUAGCCCCA